rnacentral:rRNA from 1 species
CCUACGGGUGGCAGCAGUGAGGAAUAUUGAUCAAUGGGCGCAAGCCUGAACCAGCCAAGUCGCGUGAGGGAAGACGGCCCUACGGGUUGUAAACCUCUUUUGCCGGGGAGCAAGCCUGAGCACGUGUGCCCAGGCGGAGAGUACCCGGAGAAAAAGCAUCGGCUAACUCCGUGCCAGCAGCCGCGGUAAUACGGAGGUUGCGAGCGUUAUCCGGAUUUAUUGGGUUUAAGGGGUGCGCAGGCGGGCUGUUAAGCCGGCGGUAAAAAUUCAGGGCUCAACCCUGUCGAGCCGUCGGAACUGGCAGUCUUGAGUGUGCGAGAAGUAUGCGGAAUGCGUGGUGUAGCGGUGAAAUGCUUAGAUAGGACGAAGAACCCCGAUUGCGAAGGCAGCUUGCUGCAGCGGAACUGACGCUGAUGCUCGAAAGCGCGGGUAUCGAACAGGAUUAGAUACCCGUGUAGUC